rnacentral:lncRNA from 1 species
AACUUCAGCAGAGAUAAUACUAUUACUUUUCUUAACCCAAAUUAAGAGUGACAACUUUUCUGAACUUGUGAAGCAGUUUUGAUAUGAACUUAAAAAUAAUCAGGCAAUAUUGUAGGUGGUUCUCAUUCCAUGCUCACUGUAUCUAUACCAGUUGUCACCAGCCUGUGUCUGAUUUUCCUCUAUCUAUGGACUUGCCUGAAGAGAAACAGAAACAAAAACCUCUAACUUCUAUAGGCAUCACGUUAACAUUCUUAUUACAGAACAAACACUAUGAUGUUUUUUUGGAACAUGUAAAAAUUAAAGUGAUGUUAGUUUCUAGAAGGCUAAUACUGAGGUCACCUCUCUUCUGAGCAUAUGUUGUACCUAUUCUGGUUCUACAUCCCCAGUGAGGGCAAAAAUCACAUCUGAAGAUGAUGUGCUUCUUGGUCAUUUUCUAUUCCUGAGUUCAAAGAGCCGAAUAUUGCGCUUUUCAGACCGGCUUAAAAAACGGCGCACCACGAGACUAUAUCCCACACCUGGCUCGGAGGGUCCUACGCCCACGGAAUCUCGCUGAUUGCUAGCACAGCAGUCUGAGAUCAAACUGCAAGGCGGCAGCGAGGCUGGGGGAGGGGCGCC